rfam:Caenorhabditis elegans chromosome I
CAACCUGAACUCAGUCGUGAUUACCCGCUGAACUUAAGCAUAUCAUUUAGCGGAGGAAAAGAAACUAAAAAGGAUUCCCUUAGUAACGGCGAGUGAAACGGGAAGAGCCCAGCGCCGAAUCGAUCAGUCUUUGGCUGCUUCGAAAUGUGGCGUAUAGGUGUAAGUUUCCAGCAGUGUCGUAUGUCCGAAGUCCUUACGAUUGAGGCCAUAAACCAGAGAGGGUGCGAGCCCCGUUCUGGAUAGCGGCACUGUUGGUUCGCUUGCUCCUUGGAGUCGGGUUGCUUGAAAGUGCAGCCUAAAGUGGGUGAUAAACUUCAUCUAAGGCUAAAUAUCGACUCGAUUGCGAUAGCGAACAAGUACCGUGAGGGAAAGUUGCAAAGGACUUUGAAGAGAGAGUUCAAGAGAACGUGAAAUCGCUGGAGUGGAACCGGAGACAGUUGAUGUUGCUUGGAGACAAGCUUGGUGACUGGUCGCUUAGUUGUGAUCGUUGCCGGGUGUCGUUUCCUAUGCUACGCCGACGGCGUUGGCUGCUCGUUCUAGCCCGACAGUGUUGCCCAUCUCGCAAGAGAAGGUGUCUUGCUGGCGGUAGUGGGUUCGUGGCGGCUAGCGUUUAGUUACGCUAGUGUGUGUGACGUCGGUGUGAAAGUCGACGACGUUUCCGACCCGUCUUGAAACACGGAUUGCGGAGUGCUUGUCUACUGCGAGUCAAAGGGUGUUAAAACCUUGCGGCGAAAUGAAAGUAAAGGUCAGUCUCGAAUUGGCCGACGUGGGAUCUGUGUUCUUCGGAGUGCAGCGCACCACGGCCCUGUGCGUGUCACUUGUGACUGUGCAGAGGUUGAGCAGUUGGCAAACGACCCGAAAGAUGGUGAACUAUGCCUGAGCAGGAUGAAGCCAGAGGAAACUCUGGUGGAAGUCCGUAUCGGUUCUGACGUGCAAAUCGAUCGAUAGACUUGGGUAUAGGGGCGAAAGACUAAUCGAACCAUCUAGUAGCUGGUUCCUUCCGAAGUUUCCCUCAGGAUAGCUGGAUCUCAGGCAGUUAUAUUCGGUAAAGCUAAUGAUUAGAGGCCUUGGGGACGUAAUGUCCUCAACCUAUUCUCAAACUUUCAAUGGAUAUGAAGUUGCAGUUUCUUUAGUGAACUGUCAACGUGAAUGCGAGGUCCAAGUGGGCCAUUUUUGGUAAGCAGAACUGGCGCUGUGGGAUGAACCAAACGUGGAGUUAAGGUGCCUAACUUCUCGCUCAUGAGACCCCAUAAAAGGUGUUGGUUGAUAUUGACAGCAGGACGGUGGCCAUGGAAGUCGGUAUCCGCUAAGGAGUGUGUAACAACUCACCUGCCGAAUCAACUAGCCCUGAAAAUGGAUGGCGCUUAAGCGAGAGACCUAUACUCCGCCGUUGCGACAUGUGCGUUGUCUAGCGCCAGGUCGUAACGAGUAGGAAGGUCGUGGCGGUUGCGUUGAAGGCUAUGAGCGUAGGCUCGGCUGGAGCUUCCGUCAGUGCAGAUCGUAAUGGUAGUAGCAAAUAUUCAAGUUCGAUCCUUGAAGACUGAAGUGGAGAAGGGUUCCACGUGAACAGUAGUUGGAUGUGGGUCAGUCGAUCCUAAGGUACUGGCGAACGCCUUGUAUCAUCGGUGGCGAAAAGCUUGCUUUUAGUCCCCGCUUGUCGAAAGGGAAUAGGGUUAAUAUUCCCUAACUGAGAUGCAAAGAUUGUGUUCUUCGGAGCACAAGCGCGGUAACGCAUUCGAACUUGGUUAGUCGCUCAAAGACCGAGCUAGAGUUUUCUUCUCUAGUUAAGGAACGGACUCCCUGGAAUUGGUUCAGCCAGAGAUGGGGACGUUGUUUCCGAAAAGCACCGCGGUUUCUGUGGUGUCUCGUGCUCUUUGAACGGCCCUUAAAACACCAAGGGAGGCUAUUAAUUUGCACUCAAUCGUACCGAUAUCCGCAUUAGGUCUCCAAGGUGAACAGCCUCUAGUCGAUAGAAUAAUGUAGGUAAGGGAAGUCGGCAAACUAGAUCCGUAACUUCGGGAAAAGGAUUGGCUCCAGUGGUUGGAACGGUUGGCCAGUUGGUUGAUGCUUGUCCGGCGCAGUUCUGUCUGCUUGAUACUUUCGGGUUGAUGGCGGACUAGUGAUUGUGCUUGCUUGCGGACGCUUUCUGGUGUGUGCUUGGACCUCGGUUCUAGUAUCCUGAUCGCUCAUCUAAACAACCGUACUGGAACCGGUACGGACUCAGGGAAUCCGACUGUCUAAUUAAAACAGAGGUGACAGAUGGUCCUUGCGGACGUUGACUGUCACUGAUUUCUGCCCAGUGCUCUGAAUGUUAAAUCGUAGUAAUUCGAGUAAGCGCGGGUAAACGGCGGGAGUAACUAUGACUCUCUUAAGGUAGCCAAAUGCCUCGUCAUUUAAUUGUUGACGCGCAUGAAUGGAUUAACGAGAUUCCUACUGUCCCUAACUACUUUCUAGCGAAACCACAGCCAAGGGAACGGGCUUGGCAAAAAUAGCGGGGAAA